GACGAACGCUGGCGGCGUGCUUAACACAUGCAAGUCGAACGGAAAGGCCCUGCUUUUGUGGGGUGCUCGAGUGGCGAACGGGUGAGUAACACGUGAGUAACCUGCCCUUGACUUUGGGAUAACUUCAGGAAACUGGGGCUAAUACCGGAUAGGAGCUCCUGCUGCAUGGUGGGGGUUGGAAAGUUUCGGCGGUUGGGGAUGGACUCGCGGCUUAUCAGCUUGUUGGUGGGGUAGUGGCUUACCAAGGCUUUGACGGGUAGCCGGCCUGAGAGGGUGACCGGCCACAUUGGGACUGAGAUACGGCCCAGACUCCUACGGGAGGCGGCAGUGGGGAAUAUUGCACAAUGGGCGGAAGCCUGAUGCAGCAACGCCGCGUGCGGGAUGACGGCCUUCGGGUUGUAAACCGCUUUCGCCUGUGACGAAGCGUGAGUGACGGUAAUGGGUAAAGAAGCACCGGCUAACUACG
rnacentral:rRNA from 1 species